UCUAAUAAGGCUCACUGACCCUGAAGCGUUGUCAACAACGCACGCAUCGCGA
rnacentral:rRNA from 1 species